GCCCAUCGAAGGGAAAGGAGACACCAAGAGAAAGAGACCAACGACCGUGGAGGCCUCCUACGCAGGAGCCUGUGCCGGCAACAGCUCGGCAAAAGCGACUACGGACCGCACGGACAGCGAUGUAAGGGAAGACUGGAUCCCUGUCCGCGGAAGGAGAGGAAAAAGAACGGACACCCCGGCGGUGGACAGGAAGGCGAACGCAGGAAGGGCGGCAUUGGACAAGCCAAAGAGGCCGGAGGGACCGAAGAGGGUACGUAACAAUCCCGAAGCCAUCCUCGUCAAAGUAGGACAAGACAAGGACAAGGAAGAACUAGCCAAGGAGCUAGUAAUGCAACUAGGCAUAAGCGACAUCACCGAGGUUGAAGUAAAAACCCUAAGAAUGGCGCCGUGGGGCACCCA
rnacentral:misc_RNA from 1 species